AGGGUCGUGGUCGCACAAAAGACCACCCCCAUAACCAUCCAGAGAAAGGUACGAAGUGGAAGGUUAUGUUUGAUAACACAAACCAAGCCACGGAUGAAAUGGCGAAGAAGUUAACGACAAGAAUGACUCUUUUAGCAAAAGACCAUACUCUUUUUCCGUACGACAUUGAGUGGCGUCAUCAACCACAACAGAAUUUCCAAGACGCGCUAAAAAUAUUAACUGUAAGUAUAUAAUUUUUUAUAUAAUUUAUUAAUUUUCCAAAACUUAUAAGUUUUGAAUAUGUAGGCUGAAUAUGAUUUAAGUGGAAGCAAAGCUGCACAAACUU
rnacentral:lncRNA from 1 species